rnacentral:lncRNA from 1 species
CUGUCUCAAAAAAAAAAAAAAAAAAAGAAAAAAAAAGUAUACACUGAUAAGAAUUCUUCAAAUUGAAGAUUAUGUUCUUAUGUCUACCCAGUCUUUCCUUUUUCCUUUCCUUCGGACUCCAACUAGAACAGCAAGGAGCAGAGACAAAGACAAACUAGUCCUUAAAAUGCUGUUAUGGAGACAAAAUGACACCAAACAAGUCCACUCUGUGAAUUGGUUAUGCUGUAAAUUAAUCUUUGUCUAAAUGGCCUUUGACAAACCGACUGACUCCUAGCUGACCUCCUUAGACAUACCCAGUAUCCCAAGUGAAGCUGUUUCAUCGUUUUUUGUUUGUUUGUUUUAAAGACAGGAGGUCUUUCUGUGUUGCCCAGGAUGGACUCCAAUUUCCUGGCUCAAGCGAUCCUCCUGCCUCCGCCUCCCAAGUAGCUGGGACUACAGGUGCUUGCCUGGCUUGCUUCACCAUUUUCAAGUCUCAGAACAUGGGAUCAAUCUUAGACCCAAAGGAGGAUGCUUCUCAGAAACACUCUCUGUCCUGCCGUACGUCUGUCUAAACUCCUCUAGCAAUUCCGAUGUGAAAAGAAGAUGGAUGGAGAAGCACUGAUUCAGCCAUGGCUGACAUGUCGGAGUUGGAAUGGACAGUGCCCGGACCUCACAGUCUCAGAGAACUGGAGAAGAGUAAAGCUGAAGAGGGCAUCAUCUGGUUACAAAUGACAAGUCCAGGGCUCCAGAACUCAGGCCAUGUAGAGAGGCCACAUGGGAACUGAGGUUCCUAGUCCUCAGCUUCCACUGAGCUCCCAGCCAACAGCCAGCAAUAACUUGCCAGAUGUGUGCACAGGCCAUCCUGGAAGCAGAGGAUCCAGCCCUCAGCCAAGAUGCCCCAGUUGAUUCCAUGUGAACUAGGAAUGAGCCCUCCUGCUGAGCUCUGCCCAAAUUACAGAUCUGUGAGCAAACUAAAUGACAGUUGUAUUAAGCUACACAGAAAUAGAUAACUGGAAUACCA